GUGGGGAAUCUUAGACAAUGGGGGAAACCCUGAUCUAGCCAUGCCGCGUGAUCGAUGAAGGCCUUAGGGUUGUAAAGAUCUUUCAGGUGGGAAGAUAAUGACUGUACCAGCAGAAGAAGCCCCGGCUAACUCCGUGCCAGCAGCCGCGGUAAUACGGAGGGGGCUAGCGUUGUUCGGAAUUACUGGGCGUAAAGCGCGCGUAGGCGGACCAGAAAGUUGGAGGUGAAAUCCCAGGGCUCAACCUUGGAACUGCCUUCAAAACUCCUGGUCUGGAGUUCGAGAGAGGUGAGUGGAAUUCCGAGUGUAGAGGUGAAAUUCGUAGAUAUUCGGAGGAACACCAGUGGCGAAGGCGGCUCACUGGCUCGAUACUGACGCUGAGGUGCGAAAGCGUGGGGAGCAAACAGGAUUAGAAACCCUAGUAGUCC
rnacentral:rRNA from 1 species